AACUUCAUUAUUUUAAUUGUUUUAAAAACAAUUUUAAUUCAAUUAUAGGGGCAUCCCACUUCGUUUUGCUUCUUUGGUGGAGACUUCAUCAUUAAAUAUUCUUCGUUAACGUUGACAAUAUUUGAUCUAUCAUCUAAACCCUAGCACCUCUCUUUAUAUAAAUCGCUUCAACUUCUCCUGAUCCCCUAGGAUAUCUCCGAAAGCCUCAUACUCUUCUAAUUAAUUGUUAGUGAUAAACAGCAAGGGCAAGCUAGCUGAAGAAUGAGGUUCCUAGCACUCACUCUAGUCUUGAUGAUGGUCAUGAGCUCUUAUUUGGCAACAGCUCGAAAAGCGUCGGCGGUUGAUGUGUAUGGGCAUGAAGAACAUGAGCGGCAGCUAGAAGAGGACGAUAACGAGGUGAACGGCGGGUACCAUGUAGAUGAUGUCAAUGAUCACCAUACUAAACCUAUACAGGACUUUGACAAAUAUGUUGGUGGCGGCUCAAAAUCAAAGCCUAAUUAGUUCAGACGAGCUCAUGCAUGCAUGCUUGCAAAUUAAAGUACGGAAUUAAUAUCGAUAUAUAUAUAUUAUCACAAGCCUUUUAUGUUUGUGUUCUGGGCUUUCAACGUAUUAAGUUUGCCUAUUAAUUAUCUUAGUAGUACUGAUGAAUCCAUUAUGCAUGCAUGUUAUGUAUAAUUAGUUGGAAACUAUGUUUGUAGUCAUGUUUUUAAUUAAUUUUGCUUGAUUGUAAUCUUAUGUAUAAUAUUAUUGGAGGGAGUCUGUUUUUUUUU